rnacentral:rRNA from 1 species
UGAGUAACACGUGGGUAACCUGCCCAUCAGAAGGGGAUAACACUUGGAAACAGGUGCUAAUACCGUAUAACAAUCGAAACCGCAUGGUUUUGAUUUGAAAGGCGCUUUCGGGUGUCGCUGAUGGAUGGACCCGCGGUGCAUUAGCUAGUUGGUGAGGUAACGGCUCACCAAGGCCACGAUGCAUAGCCGACCUGAGAGGGUGAUCGGCCACAUUGGGACUGAGACACGGCCCAAACUCCUACGGGAGGCAGCAGUAGGGAAUCUUCGGCAAUGGACGAAAGUCUGACCGAGCAACGCCGCGUGAGUGAAGAAGGUUUUCGGAUCGUAAAACUCUGUUGUUAGAGAAGAACAAGGAUGAGAGUAACUGUUCAUCCCUUGACGGUAUCUAACCAGAAAGCCACGGCUAACUACGUGCCAGCAGCCGCGGUAAUACGUAGGUGGCAAGCGUUGUCCGGAUUUAUUGGGCGUAAAGCGAGCGCAGGCGGUUUCUUAAGUCUGAUGUGAAAGCCCCCGGCUCAACCGGGGAGGGUCAUUG